rnacentral:rRNA from 1 species
GACGAACGCUGGCGGCGUGCGUUAACACAUGCAAGUCGAGCGAUGAAGCUCCUUCGGGAGUGGAUUAGCGGCGGACGGGUGAGUAACACGUGGGUAACCUGCCUCAUAGAGGGGAAUAGCCUUUCGAAAGGAAGAUUAAUACCGCAUAAGGUUGUAGUACCGCAUGGUACAGCAAUUAAAGGAGUAAUCCGCUAUGAGAUGGACCCGCGUCGCAUUAGCUAGUUGGUGAGGUAACGGCUCACCAAGGCGACGAUGCGUAGCCGACCUGAGAGGGUGAUCGGCCACAUUGGGACUGAGACACGGCCCAG